AACGAACGCUGGCGGCAUGCCUAACACAUGCAAGUCGAACGAGACCUUCGGGUCUAGUGGCGCACGGGUGCGUAACGCGUGGGAACCUGCCCUUAGGUUCGGAAUAACUCCCCGAAAGGGGUGCUAAUACCGGAUAAUGUCUUCGGACCAAAGAUUUAUCGCCUUUGGAUGGGCCCGCGUUGGAUUAGCUAGUUGGUAGGGUAAAAGCCUACCAAGGCGACGAUCCAUAGCUGGUCUGAGAGGAUGAUCAGCCACACUGGGACUGAGACACGGCCCAGACUCCUACGGGAGGCAGCAGUGGGGAAUAUUAGACAAUGAGCGAAAGCCUGAUCCAGCAAUGCCGCGUGAGUGAUGAAGGCCUUAGGGUUGUAAAGCUCUUUUACCCGGGAUGAUAAUGACAGUACCGGGAGAAUAAGCUCCGGCUAACUCCGUG
rnacentral:rRNA from 1 species